GACAGAGGGUGCAAACGUUGUUCGGAAUUACUGGGCGUAAAGCGAGUGUAGGCGGUGUGGUAAGUCGGAUGUGAAAGCCCCGGGCUCAACCCGGGAAGUGCACUCGAUACUGCCACGCUAGAGUAUCGGAGAGGUUGGUGGAAUUCUCGGUGUAGAGGUGAAAUUCGUAGAUAUCGAGAGGAACACCGGUGGCGAAGGCGGCGACCUGGUCCGUGACUGACGCUGAGGCGCGAAAGCGUGGGGAGCAAACAGG
rnacentral:rRNA from 1 species